rnacentral:rRNA from 1 species
UACGUAGGUGGCAAGCGUUGUCCGGAUUUAUUGGGUUUAAAGGGUGCGUAGGCGGCCCUAUAAGUCAGUGCUGAAAUAUCCCGGCUUAACCGGGAGGGUGGCAUUGAUACUGUAGGGCUUGAGUAAAGUUGAGGUUGGCGGAAUUGACGGUGUAGCGGUGAAAUGCUUAGAUAUCGGGAGGAACACCUGUGGCGAAAGCGGCUCACUGGACCACAACUGACGCUGAUGCACGAAAGCUAGGGGAGCAAACAGG